GACGAACGCUGGCGGCGUGCUUAACACAUGCAAGUCGAACGGUGAAGUGCCUUCCUUUUUGGUGGGUGUGGAUGAGUGGCGAACCGGUGAGUAAAACGUGCGUAACCUGCCCCCUUCUCCUGGAUAACCGCAUGAAAGUGCGGCUAAUAAUGGUAAUUCUGGGCCUGUCGCAUGAUGGGUUUGGGAAAGAUAUUGUUUCGGUGGGGGAUGGGCUCGCGGGCUAUCAGCAUGUUGGUGGGGUGAUGGCCUACCAAGGCGGGGAGGGGUAGCCGGCCUGAGAGGGUGGACGGGCACACAGGGGCUGAGAGACAGGCACGAGUCCGAUGGGGGACGGCGGAGUGGAAUAUAGCAGACAGUGCGCGAGCGUGUGGCAGCGCCGCCGCGCGAGGGAUGGGGGCGUCCUAGUGGUGAUCCUCUGUCGCUAGUGAAGGAGACCUGCCUCGUUUGUGGGGGAGUUGACGGUAGCUGAAGAAGAAGCGCCGGCUAACUACGUG
rnacentral:rRNA from 1 species